GCCGAGAUGCUGAAAUUGGUAGACAGGCUGGACUUAGAAUCCAGUGCCCUUCAACAAGGCGUGCAGGUUCGAUUCCUGUUCUCGGCA
rnacentral:tRNA from 1 species